rnacentral:rRNA from 1 species
CCUACGGGAGGCAGCAGUGGGGAAUAUUGCGCAAUGGGCGGAAGCCUGACGCAGGGACGCCGCGUGGGGGAUGACGGCCUUCGGGUUGUAAACCUCUUUCAGUAGGGACGAAGGGUGACUGACGGUACCUACAGAAGAAGGACCGGCUAACUACGUGCCAGCAGCCGCGGUGAUACGUAGGGUCCGAGCGUUGUCCGGAAUUAUUGGGCGUAAAGGGCUUGUAGGCGGUCCGUCGCGUCAGAAGUGAAAACUCAGGGCUUAACCCUGAGCCUGCUUUUGAUACGGGCGGACUAGAGGGAUGCAGGGGAGAACGGAAUUCCUGGUGGAGCGGUGGAAUGCGCAGAUAUCAGGAGGAACACCGGUGGCGAAGGCGGUUCUCUGGGCAUUACCUGACGCUGAGAAGCGAAAGCGUGGGGAGCAAACAGGCUUAGAUACCCUGGUAGUCCACGCCGUAAACGGUGGGCACUAGGUGUGGGGGACAUUCCACGUUCUCCGUGCCGAAGCUAACGCAUUAAGUGCCCCGCCUGGGGAGUACGGCCGCAAGGCUAAAACUCAAAGGAAUUGACGGGGGCCCGCACAAGCGGCGGAGCAUGCGGAUUAAUUCGAUGCAACGCGAAGAACCUUAC